rnacentral:rRNA from 1 species
CCUACGGGGGGCAGCAGUGAGGAAUAUUGGUCAAUGGACGAGAGUCUGAACCAGCCAAGUAGCGUGAAGGAUGACUGCCCUAUGGGUUGUAAACUUCUUUUAUAUGGGAAUAAAAUGUUCCACGUGUGGGAUUUUGUAUGUACCAUAUGAAUAAGGAUCGGCUAACUCCGUGCCAGCAGCCGCGGUAAUACGGAGGAUCCGAGCAUUAUCCGGAUUUAUUGGGUUUAAAGGGAGCGUAGGUGGAUUGUUAAGUCAGUUGUGAAAGUUUGCGGCUCAACCGUAAAAUUGCAGUUGAAACUGGCAGUCUUGAGUACAGUAGAGGUGGGCGGAAUUCGUGGUGUAGCGGUGAAAUGCUUAGAUAUCACGAAGAACUCCGAUUGCGAAGGCAGUUCACUGGACUGCAACUGACACUGAGGCUCGAAAGUGUGGGUAUCAAACAGGAUUAGAUACCCUAGUAGUC